GAUGAACGCUGGCGGCGUGCCUAAUACAUGCAAGUCGAGCGAACAGACGAGGCGCUUGCUCCUCUGACGUUACCGGCGGACGGGUGAGUACCACGUGUAUGACCUACCUAUAAGACUGGGAUACCUUCAGGAAACCGGAGCUAGUACCGGAUAAUAUAUUGAACCUCAUGGUUCAUUAGUGAUCGACCGUUUUGCUGUCACUUAUACGGAUUACCUCGCCGCAUUAGCUAGUUGGUAAGGUAACGGCUUACCAAGGCAACGAUGCGUAGCCGACCUGAGAGGGUGAUCGGCCACACUGGAACUGAGACACGGUCCAGACUCCUACGGGAGGCAGCAGUAGGGAAUCUUCGGCAAUGGGCGAAAGCCUGACGGAGCAACGCCGCGUGAGUGAAGAAGGUCUUCGGAUCGUAAAACUCUGUUAUUAGGGAAGAACAAAAGUGUAAGUAACUAUGCACGUCUUGACGGUACCAAAACAGAAAGCCACGGCUAACUACGUG
rnacentral:rRNA from 1 species